UACGGAGGGUGCAAGCGUUAUCCGGAUUCACUGGGUUUAAAGGGUGCGUAGGUGGGCAGGUAAGUCAGUGGUGAAAUCUCCGGGCUUAACCCGGAAACUGCCGUUGAUACUAUCUGUCUUGAAUAUCGUGGAGGUGAGCGGAAUAUGUCAUGUAGCGGUGAAAUGCUUAGAUAUGACAUAGAACACCAAUUGCGAAGGCAGCUCACUACACGGUCAUUGACACUGAGGCACGAAAGCGUGGGGAUCAAACAGG
rnacentral:rRNA from 1 species